GUUUUCGCGCGCUUCGCUGCGUCCCCGCCGCCCCCCGCCGCCCCCCGGCCCCUCCCGCGCCGCGCCGCGCAGACACAAUGGGCGCGGAGCCGGCUCUUCCUCCCCAGCGGCUGACGCGUUUGCAAAAAUAGCUCUCGGCUCCCGGAAUCCCCGCCCGGGUCCUAGCCCGCCCCCUGCCCCUCCGGGCCGCAGCCGUGGGCGACGCAGCCUGCCUGAGGGAGUGGGUCCCGGGGUCCCAGCUCUGUGGGCGCGAGGCGGGGCAGGGCGGCCCCCAGGGUGACUGGGAGAGCGCCGCUCUGGGGAGUGAGGGCGGCGAGGCUGGGGCCUCCAAACCCCAGAAGGGACGGGACGGGGCUGGCCUCGGUGAGCUGCCAGCCUGCGCUCUGGAUCCAGCCGGGCGCGUCCCCUCCCACCCUCGCGCCGCGGCUGUCGCCGGCCCCGGCCCCCAGUGACGCCCAGGCCUGUGCCCAGGGCACCCUGGAGGCCCAGCCUUUCUUGCCCGGUGGCGGCGGUUGGGGCAGGGUCGGACCUAGGCCGCGAUGGGGGAUUAGAAGACCUACCUGCCCCAAGUAGCUCGGACAGCUCACCCUCCCAGACACGCCUGGGCUACCUCAUUUCGUCCGCAUCGACUCUGCUGACAUCCCAGGGGAAGCGUCAGCAUUUCGGGAGAGCACCCCUUGCCACCCGACUUUGGGAACUGAGAACCACCUGCCCGCAGGUGAACUACUCCGCAGAAAUGGCAACACCAGCCCCGGGGGCUGAAAGAAAAUGUGUCUACAGCUUGGAGCUGGUGGCGCAGUGGGUUACAAACACUGAUAUUCCACGGGUUCCACCUCCUGUCACCUCAGUUCAAUGGUUUUAUUCUGGUUUGUAAACAUGUAACAAAUGUAUAUCCUCUCUGGGUGCGGAGAAAAGUGAGAGUAUAUUAUGGCAAACACACAGAUCUGGGGAGAGCUGCUCCGCAGGAGACAGCAGGCCGCAGCAUGGGCGACCGCAUCUUCCCAGCUCUAGCUUAUGAGACAGAAACGACGGAAACGGGGUCAAGGGAGAAGAAAAUGAAAAUGCUAAGAAUUUAUGAAUAAAAGCUAGAAUUUUAGAGAAAUACUUUAUCACCUUCUGUUCACAAACCACGAAAAGACAUAUGAUAUCGUUGGUACCAAAGCAUGUGAGAAGACCUCACCUGUAGAAGGAAGGACAAGCCACCACCACCCCUAUCCUUGGAAUUCCCAAGGUGGCAGCCGGAGCGACCAUCCACUCUACUGAGUGGAUUUGGGGCUGGAAACGAAGUAUCAGGCUGGAAAGGACCCUGCCUAUCAUUCCACCCAACGUUGUCCAGUGAGGUAACAAGGCCUAGGCGCCCGUGACGGCUAAGGCAGAACCUAGAGGCCCACUGCCUGCUCCAGGACCAAGGGCAGGGCCGAGGCUGAGCCCCAACCCAAGAUGAGCCUUUGGUUUAGUAGCCUGGGACCUGGACAUUUGGAAAGAGACAGAUCAGACUGGAAGCCUCUCCAUCCGGCUUCCACAGAUUACCUUUGUGUUACUUCCUUUUCCCCUAGUCAAGACUUGCUUUAAGUUUUAAGGUGGUAGGAAGGAGAUAUUUUAGUAAAGUAUCCGAUGUAUCUUUUUGGUGCUAUGCUAAUUAUUACCAAGAGCCUCAGUGGUUUUGACUGCAGCCUCCACAUUUUGCACCACCAUGAUGGGGUUUAGCAAUAAAGGGCUGUCUGCUGUCCAGUAGGAAAAAACAGAUUAAUAGACAUUAAUAGAGCCUUCCAGAACACAGCCAUUAAACAGCAACUCACCAUAAUUGAAUAGCAACCACUCUACCUGCUAAUUUCACUCACCAGGUGAUAAGUUAAUUUUACAGUUGAUAAUUUAACUUCUAACACAUAAAAAUAUCAUUUGGUUGAGUCGACUGGUAACUUUCCUUCAAAUGUGGAUUUUUAUUGAAAAACACUGGAAUUAUGAAAAGGAAGGUAAUGUUUACCACUCAUAUCAGACAUGUAAGGCCUACUUUGAGCCUAUUUCUUCAUGGACAUACAUCAUGGCUAAAUUCCACUGAGUGGAAAAUAUUGGCUGCACUGUGGCACUUACUUCAUUUUAAUUAAUCAGAAGGAGAGAUUUUUUCAAAGAAUAGCAUGUACUUGUGUCUGCCUGAGAUGAAUUCCUCUUCCAGCAGCAGUGACAUUUCAGGUCCUCUCCUUUCUAUUCUUCAUCAAGAUGACUGCAUCCAGAGAAGAACUCAAUUAUUUCAAGCAAACAGAAGGCAAUAACUUGGCAGUAAUUUUGAAAUUGCAUCCUAAAAUAUUCUCUUUUUUUUCCCUUUAAGGGCUUUGAAAUAAAAUGUGCCACCAAUUAAAAUGACUUUUGAGUGAAUCCGAUGAGCAAUAUAUCAUGGCAUUAUUAUCUUUGCUUGAGUAAGGCUAAUAACCUAAAAUGCAAAAGGGAGCAUCCCAUUUAUUCUUGAAUAUGAUGAGUAAAUAAAGACCAG
rnacentral:lncRNA from 10 species